CGCGUGUACUGGUCCGGCCGGGCCUUUCCCUCUGUGGAACCCCAUGCCCUUCACUGGGUGUGGCGGGGAAACAGGACUUUUACUGUGAAAAAAUUAGAGUGCUCCAGGCAGGCCUAUGCUCGAAUACAUUAGCAUGGAAUAAUAGAAUAGGACGUGUGGUUCUAUUUUGUUGGUUUCUAGGACCGCCGUAAUGAUUAAUAGGGACAGUCGGGGGCAUCAGUAUUCAAUUGUCAGAGGUGAAAUUCUUGGAUUUAUUGAAGACUAACUACUGCGAAAGCAUUUGCCAAGGAUGUUUUCAUUAAUCAGGAACGAAAGUUAGGGGAUCGAAGACGAUCAGAUACCGUCGUAGUCUUAACCAUAAACUAUGCCGACUAGGGAUCGGACGAUGUUAUAUUUUGACCCGUUCGGCACCUUACGAGAAAUCAAAGUGCUUGGGCUCCAGGGGGAGUAUGGUCGCAAGGCUGAAACUUAAAGAAAUUGACGGAAGGGCACCACCAGGGGUGGAGCCUGCGGCUUAAUUUGACUCAACACGGGGAAACUCACCAGGUCCAGACACAAUGAGGAUUGACAGAUUGAGAGCUCUUUCUUGAUUUUGUGGGUGGUGGUGCAUGGCCGUUCUUAGUUGGUGGAGUGAUUUGUCUGCUUAAUUGCGAUAACGAACGAGACCUUAACCUGCUAAAUAGCCCGUAUUGCUUUGGCAGUACGCUGGCUUCUUAGAGGGACUAUCGG
rnacentral:rRNA from 1 species